rnacentral:rRNA from 2 species
GAAACCAACAGGGAUUGCCUCAGUAACGGCGAGUGAAGCGGCAAGAGCUCAAAUUUGAAAUCUGGUCCUUUCAGGGCCCGAGUUGUAAUUUGCAGAGGAUGCUUUGGGUGCGGCCGCGGCGUAAGUGCCCUGGAACGGGCUGUCGCAGAGGGUGAGAAUCCCGUCUUGAGUCGCCGGUUCGCGCCCGUGUAAAGCUCCUUCGACGAGUCGAGUUGUUUGGGAAUGCAGCUCUAAAUGGGUGGUAAAUUUCAUCUAAAGCUAAAUAUUGGCUGGAGACCGAUAGCGCACAAGUAGAGUGAUCGAAAGGUUAAAAGCACCUUGAAAAGGGAGUUAAAUAGCACGUGAAAUUGUUGAAAGGGAAGCGCUUGCAACCAGACUCGGCCGCAGAGGCUCAACGGGCACGUGUGCCUGUGCACUCCUCUGUGGUCGGGCCAGCAUCAGUUCUGGCGACCGGUCAAAGGCCCCUGGAAUGUGUCGUCCUCCGGGACGUCUUAUAGCCAGGGGUGCAAUGCGGCCAGCCGGGACUGAGGAACGCGCUUCGGCACGGAUGCUGGCAUAAUGGUUGUAAGCGGCCCGUCUUGAAACACGGACCAAGGAGUCUAACAUCCACGCGAGUGUUCGGGUGUCAAACCCGUGCGCGCAGUGAAAGCGAACGGAGGUGGGAUCCCCGCAAGGGGCGCACCAUCGACCGAUCCUGAAGUCUUCGGAUGGAUUUGAGUAAGAGCGUGGCUGUUGGGACCCGAAAGAUGGUGAACUAUGCCUGAAUAGGGCGAAGCCAGAGGAAACUCUGGUGGAGGCUCGCAGCGGUUCUGACGUGCAAAUCGAUCGUCAAAUUUGGGUAUAGGGGCGAAAGACUAAUCGAACCAUCUAGUAGCUGGUUCCUGCCGAAGUUUCCCUCAGGAUAGCAGUAACGUUUUCAGUUUUAUGAGGUAAAGCGAAUGAUUA